UGGGGAAUAUUGGACAAUGGGGGAAACCCUGAUCCAGCAAUGCCGCGUGAGUGAAGAAGGCCUUAGGGUUGUAAAGCUCUUUCGCCCGCGAAGAUAAUGACGGUAGCGGGAGAAGAAGCCCCGGCUAACUCCGUGCCAGCAGCCGCGGUAAUACGGAGGGGGCUAGCGUUGUUCGGAAUUACUGGGCGUAAAGCGUACGUAGGCGGAUGCGCAAGUUGGGGGUGAAAUCCCGGGGCUUAACCUCGGAAUUGCCCUCAAAACUGCACGGCUUGAGACCGAGAGAGGUAAGGGGAAUUCCUAGUGUAGAGGUGAAAUUCGUAGAUAUUAGGAAGAACACCAGUGGCGAAGGCGCCUUACUGGCUCGGUACUGACGCUGAGGUACGAAAGCGUG
rnacentral:rRNA from 1 species